rfam:Zea mays cultivar B73 chromosome 8, whole genome shotgun sequence.
UUAGCCAAGAAUGGCUUGCCUAUCUCCAUUAUUUGGUCCAUCUUCUUGGGAGACCUCCCUCAUGGUGUGGAUGGAAUGUGGAUGGUGGCAGGCCUUCUGGCUAAGU